rnacentral:lncRNA from 1 species
AGUGGGGGUGGAGAGAAGGGCAUUCAAGACUAGCACUCCAACACACUCCAGCUUAUCCCAGGGUUUGUUACUUAUAUUUUAAGCUUUCCCAAGUUGCUGUUCCAUCGUGUUUCCCUUUCUCUAGCACCUUUUGAUGGGCUUCAAUCGUGGUCUUGGUCUGGCUGCCUUGUUUCCUCAUUUUUCAUCAAGCUGUUUGCUGCAGCAGAGACUUUGGGCUGCUGUGCCUCCACUGCAGUUAGGAGCAGCACUAACAGUGGUGCAUGACAUUCAAGACAAACAUGAUAUUCUAAAGCGUUCCAACAUUUCAGUUCCCCGGGAAGUGGAUGUGGCUCUUCAACCCCCAGCAAGCGCACGUCAUCUGGAGACAAUAACGACAGCCACCUGGCAAGACCAUCAUCACAUGUAGGUACCCUACAAAUUUGGACCAUUUCUCUGUGCCUGUUUCGGUUUCUCUUCCACUUUGGUGAAAGAUGUCUUCUUGCAAUGCUUGCUGCUUCAGUGAGACGCAGU